rnacentral:lncRNA from 1 species
AAUGAAAAUAAUUUAGAUGUAGAUAUUCAAACUCCAAAUCUACUUGAUAACACAUAGUACAUACUGAAAAAAAAAUCAAGGACUAACUGAUCUUUAGGAAGAAGCUCUAGGUAAAGCACAUUCUACAUUUUUGGAUAUGUUCCCACAGCAAUAUCGGUAUAUUGAUCUUUAGGAAGAAGCUCUAGGUAAAGCAAACAGUUCUAGUGCAUUCAAGAUGAGCAUGAAGGCAACAUAUUUGUAGAAUGCAGGUCUUGCUGCAGAAGGACAAAGAAGCAACAGUAAGUCUAUGAUUA